CCCCUCCCAUGUUUGUUCACAGAUUCAGCAAUUUGUCUUUUACUUUGGAGGUAAUGGCCAGUGGACUCCUAAAUAUUUCACUGUACUAGCAGGUCCUGAGUCUUUGUAGAGUUCAUCUUCCACCCUUUGGAGCAUGUAUCUAACCAAGGCUUCUAGCAUACUGGCCACCUCUUCCUCUUUUGUCCAGUCAUCAUGAUUUUAUUGAUGUGAUGAAUCAGGGUGGUGUUCUGAGGGACUCAUAGGUGAUUCAGACCUUUUCAGACAAAAUUAUGGCAAAGGGUAAGAGUGUUACCAUAGCCCCAAGACAAAAUCGGAGAUCAAUAUUAUUGUCUAUUUCAUCUGAAUUCAAACCUUUUCUGAUCUUCUUUCCUAAUUGGAAUGGAAAAGAAUAUGUUGUCCAAAUCAAUGGCUAAAAACUAGGUACCUGAAGUUUUAUUAAUCUGCUUAGCACAGUAUCACAUCUGGCACAGUAACUAUAAUCAUCAGGUUUACUACUUGAUUAAGUCUGUAAUAGUACACAGUUAUUCUCCAGGACCCAGCUGGUUUCUGCACGGACCACAUUGGUCAUCAUGAGUGAAGUCUUGAGCCACUGAGCCACUACCACCUUGUGCCAAAUACUAUCUGUGCCCUGCCUGCCAACCAGGAUGACAACCCUUCACCUGCCAGGUGGAGAGAGACAGCAGCAGGCUAACUAGUUGUCUGUUAAGAACAUCCAGAGCAGGACCAGAAUCUGGGCCAGGAACUGAGAGACAGAUUGGGACAACGGAACAAAUCUACCAGGGUAUGCUGGCCAACUUAGUCUUCUAUUAUGAUCAAGGAAGGAUGGCGCCUGAGAGGUCAUUACUAUGUGACUGGUCUUCAUAUAUUGCUUCUAUGUUUGAUUCUUCCUCCAGAAAUGUUUCAAUAGCAAACUCAAUGAGUUUACGUAGCCAGAAUCUUAGUCAAUAACCUACUCUGCAGUAUCUUAGGGCUGACUUUGUACAUAUGGAAGUCAGCCAGAUCUCAUGAGUGGAUCAUUAAGCUAGAAUUAUUUUCUUGGCACACGUUACAGUAAGGUAAUAUAUGACCUAGGCCUAAGGCAGGCCAUCAACCUGUCAAGAGUAAUGACCCCCAGGGGUAAGGCCUUGCUGUCUCCACCUCAAGGAUGGGUCUUCAAAGUGGAGACAAUAUAGUCCCUAUGGUUUCUACAUGCUUAAUGAGUCUGUUAUGUGAAUUAUAAAGAUAAUAUCUAUGGGGACUUUGAGCUCCUACAAUAAAAAUGUAUAAAUAUAAUCCAAGAAAUUCUGGUAGACAAACAUUGUAAUAAUGCAUAUCAGUCUUUGUAUCUCCAUUUAGUUUUUUUAAAACUUGGCUUGUGUCCAGAAGUAUGCACAGAUAUACAUAGCAAAUGCUCAGUGCUGAAUGUUUAGCUAAAUCCUGUGCUUCAAAGCAAGGAUGAAUAGAUUUUCAUCAGAGCUCAGGACCUGAACUGUAGGCUUCCCUCACAAUGAGAAGUAAAGCUAAGUAUAGGUGAAUCCUGAGUGGCACAUAUUCUAUGAGAGUUUUAUACAUAAUUUGAAUGAUUGAUAUGCUGCAUCUUUCAUUGAAAUGAUUGUCAACCAAUAUUAUUUCAAGUGUUAUUUCCAUGCUAUUUCUAGUUCUGUAUGUUUUACGUAAUUAUAAAUGGCUUCAUAUUUUCAUGUAACAUUGUAUGAUAUGAUUUGGGUUCUAACAGGUUAUCCUUGACACCAGUAUAGAAUACCCAGAAUUAAUUUAAGGUAUAUUAUCAAACCACUAAAAUUAGGAUGUCCAUGAAUUCUGAAGGAGAAAAUAUCAUUUAGAUUGUGUGUGUGUGUGUGUGUGUGUGCGCGUGUGUGUGUGUCCUCUAAGUUUUAAACAUGAGGUGGUUAUAUAAAGGGGACUUCUAAAUUGGGAGAGGAUGAAAAUGGGCUAAAUAUUUCAAACAAACUUCAGUGUGAAAUCAGUAGUAUAUUCAGUAGAGGUGACAGGGAAAAAAGCUGUGGAGGAGAAAAGAGAACAAGAAAAUCAGGAAGCAGUAAAAAUGAUGACUGAGGUCAGGUGGUAAUGGUAACAUCAAGAAACUUGAAUCUGAUGGAAAAAAACCACGGGUAGCUAUAAAAGGGGCAUUCGAAAUAGGAAAUGAUGUGAGAGGAGAAGAUAAUUUUAGUAUAGUUAAAGGAGGUAGCAGCUAUAGGUGUGAAGAGAACGGAUUAAUUUUAAAUGUGUCCCAGAAGUAAGAGAAAUAUUUUUUUGAGGAGUGGGGGAGGAACAAUGAGAUAAACCUGGUUGAGUGUUUUAUGGUUAUCUCAAGUAAGAGUCCACUUGGAGUAUUAUGUCCAUUUUUGGACACCAUACUUUCAUAGGCAUGUUGAUGAACCAGGUCAUUCAAGACACCAGGGUAGUGAGAAGUGUGUUAAUAGUGCUUCUACCAGAGAGUUAGAGUGACAUGGCAGCUGUCCUCAUAUCUAUCGAUCUGUCAUAAGGAAGAAAGAUCACAUGCCUCUGCAUUGUUUAAAAGAAAGAAACAGACCCAAAGAAAGUCAGGAGGCAGAUUUUGCUCAAUAUAAUGAUCUAACAAUUAGAUGUGCCCUGUAACAGAGUGCGCUAUUGUAAAGUAAUGUUCUCCCAUCUUUCCAAGUAUUCAAGCAGAGAAUAGUCAAUAAUACAACUAACGACUGGAAGGGUUUCUUUUAUUCUAAGGUACUAUCAGAUGGAGGAACAUGUAGUUUGUGGUCAGUGACCUCAGGUUCUCACAUUCACGGUGCUGCAUCCUGGUUUUCAUUUGGGGACUGUUUUCUGGCACUCCCGCCUGUCUGGAGGUGAGAUAUGCUUGUUAUGACAACCCUUCUGUCACAAUAAAUUGGCUGGUGCAUUCAGUGUCAUCUAUGGCUUUUUACUUCUAUUAAUUCAUUAAUUCCGGGCCCCCAAGCGAAAGUUUCCAAAGGCCUUUUUUCUUCUUUGUUAAUUAUAACAUGAUAUCAAUCAGCACCCAAGCAGAAACUAGAAGAGUAUUCAAACUAGGUAAUUUGAGGAGAGUUUAAUAAAGCAACAGCUUACAAAGAUGUGGACAGUGGCUUAAGGAAGCCACUAAAGGAUGGCACAGUCCUCCAGGCUUGUGAUCAGGGGAGUCAUUACCAUCCCCCAGCCUGAAGAUCAAGAGGCUGGAGCUAUUUCCAGACCCUGAAGAGGGUGGUUGUAUGGAGAGGACUAUCUGAAAGAAGAGGCUGUAGCCAACACAAGAAAGCCAGGGAAUAAAUAAUCCAUCCUCACUCUCCUGCUGUUGCCUCUCAAUGGCCAAACCCAACCAUGAGCUGGGCAUGAAGGGAGCUAGCUGACAGCUAUAUGGCUCAGCUUCCUGGGGCCCAGAGCAGAGUGGAGCUGAGAAGAGAGUGAAUCUGGAGGGGUUAAUGGAAGAAACCACAGAAAGCAAAUUCCUCCCUGAGAUACAGUUGGUGCUUAGGCAAUAUUUGUACUGACAGGAAUGUGGCCACAUAUUUUGGAAAAGCUCAGGGACUCAAUCCUCUGCUAGCUGCUUUGAGGCCAUGUCUGCCGAAGUCACUGUCCUCUACAGGGUUUUUUCCUCAUGUUCAGUGUUUAGUCCUUUCCACCUUCACGAAAACGAUGCCUACUUAAUAUACAGAAAGGAGGACAUACAGAAAUUUUUCAUCUUAAUUGGAUAUUACAGUUGCCCCACUUUGGAGCCAAGAAGAGCUGAAUAAAGCUGAGAAACACCUAAACAGAAAGGCAAGUUUACCAUGAAGUAAGAAACGUAAGCUUUGGACCCCUUAAUUGCUUGAGCCUCCGUGAGUAUUGGGAGUUGGUGUGGGUUGUAGAAUGUUGUCAGUAGAGAGAGAAGUCAGAUUGCAUUUCUAUGUAAAUAUUUUGGGUAAAUUGCUUAGAGACAUGUCAGAAGAAAGGGACCUGGACUCUCAAGGCUCCAGUAACUUAUUAUGAAUCCUUUUCUUAUCCUUAAUAAAUAUUCUUUUUUGUACCUAACUUUAUAUUUCUAAUUUUAUGUUCUUUUUCUUGAGAAGGAUCAGCCAAAUAAUAUACGUUUUAGCCCCCACAAAACCUGGAUCACUCAACCUACAUGGAACUUUAAUCAUACUCAAACUAGGUCAGCAGUCAGUUUAAAGUGUAGGGGUAGGGGACAGUAAAAGGGACUUUAUAUGGAAGCCACGGAAAGUUUUCAUAGGAGAGAGAAAGAGUGCAUGUGCAUGUGGUACUAACAUGGACUCAAACUUUACUCCUGGCCACUGCUCCAUUUCUUUCUUGUAUAUUUGUGUUCCUUGAACAUAUACUUUAUACUAAAUGCAUCUACUUCUUAACCACAUAUAGGACAUUGACUUUCUUUAAUCAACUUUGUUCUCCUUCCCCUUGUACUUCUUCUAUCCCUAGAAGCUGCUACCCUCAACUAGGAUAUUUCUGGCAACUUCAGGAAAAUUGAAAGGACAAUUUCUAGUGCCAUUAUCUUUGCAACCUUUGACUGGAUGCCACCAGUUCACCCUUUUCAACUGUAAUUAUAAUGACUUCCUUAAAGUGUUGUCACUAACUCUGGCUUCUAUGACUUCAUUUGCUAUUUUACCACUUUCUGGUAUCUACUGGCAUUCUUGGGUAUAAUCUAGGAAUUAGUGCCCUUCCAUUGCAGUAGGUCCUGCCCAUCCUGAGACAACACACAUUUCCCUUCAAUCUUUUCCCUUGGUCUGUUUUCAUGUUGUUAACCUUCUUUUGCUGCUUCUUGCUGCUUUCUUCUCCCUCUAACUCAUCUCUCUGUUCAAUUCAUACAACUGAAUCUUCUUCCAUCUGGCCUAGUGAAACAAGCUCCUGGUAGGGCCCCCUUUCCCAGAUCUAACCUUCUUUCAUCAUUGCUCAGAGUGACUGUGACACAGGCAUCUCAAACCAUCCGACAUACCCCUCCACUCCUUAGGACUCUAUGGUGGCAUCCCUUAGCCCCAGGAAGCACAGGAGUCACAUCACUUUCUCAUUUAAGAUUCACUUGCUCAAAUCUUCUUUUGUCCAGUUCCACCCUACUUUUUCUAAAGCUGCAUGAUGCAUCUGUAGGCACUCCUUUGUACCACUUACUAUGUGUCAGACCUGGUAUCUUGAUUUGACCUCAUUUUGCUUACAGCAACCAUGUUUUUGUUUCUUGCAACAACCAAGUUUCUGUUUACUUACGGCAACCAAGUGAUUUCUGUUGUUAUCUCUAUUUCAUGGGUGAGGAAAUCGAGCAUUAGAGAGGGCAAAUAAAGUACCCAAAGUUAGAGAUUCGGCAAGUCUUUGGGUUCAUAAUAUUUGAACCCAAGCCCUCUGAUCCCAUAGUCCACAUUCUUAACCACUGUACCAGUGCUUCUCAAAGUAUAGACCACUGACCGUCGGCACCAGGGUCACUGGGUGCCUGUUAAAGUGCAAAUUCCUGGGUCCCAUUUUCUAUCUACUUACCUGAUGAAAAGGGAUCUGGUGAAAGAAUAUUCAAGGCAGAGAAAACAGCAACUGCUGAGGUGGGAAUAAGCAAGGAUCAGAAAAAGGGUGAGAGAGGCUGGAGCACAAUGAGCCCAGGAGGGUGGUAUGAGGUCCGGAGGCUUCGGAUUUUGGAUCUCUUUUCUUCUUUUCCUUUCCUUUUGCCUUUUGCCAUUCCUUUUGCCUUUUGCCUUUCCUUUCCUUUCCUUUCCUUUCCUUUCCUUUCCUUUCCUUUCCUUUCCUUUCUCUCUUUUUCUUUCUUUUUUGAGAGGGUUGCACUGUGUCACCCAGGCGGAAUGCAGUGACAAUCACAGCUCACUGCAGCCUUGACUUCCUGGGCUCAAGCAUUUCUCCCACUUCAGUCUCCCAAGUAGCUGGGACUACAAAUGCAUGCCACCACACCCGACUAACUUUUGUGUUAGGGGGUGGUCUCCCUGUGUUGCCCAGGCUGGUCUCAAACUCCUGGGCUCAAGCAAUUCUCCCGCCUCAGCCCCCCAAAGUGCUGGGAUUUUAAUUUUUUAUUUAGUUAGAUGGGAAGCUCUUGGACAGUGGUAAGCAGGCGAGCGAUAAGACCCACCUCACAUUUGAACAGAUGGCAGCUGUCACUAAAGAGUUGUAGAGUUGUGGAAUUUUGGAGUUGUAGAGUUAUAGAAUUGUGGAGUUGUGAAGCUGUGAAGUUGUUGUAGGGAAGCAGCUGCCCAGCCAGCGCACUUCCUUGCAUCUAGAGAUGUCAUAGAUGAAUUCUGGCCAUUGGAAGGAGAGCAGAAGUGAUUUAUGGGUGACUUUUGGGCAGAGGUAUUGAAGGAGCAGAUAUGCCUGCUUCAUGUUCUCUCCGCCCUUCUACCAGCUGGGUGUUGAUUCCAUGUAUUAAGAUGACUGGGCUCUCCCUCUCCCAGCCUGGCAUUGACAAGGAGUCCCCACAUGAACUAUUCCCUGAGCAAUAAAAAAUGGAACACAAAAUGUGUAUUAUUCAAAUGUGGGGAUUUCCUUGUUACAGUAGCUACUAUUACCUUAAAUGAUACAUGACUCAUGCUUUGCCAACAUCAUUUUGGCUGCUAUGUGGAGGUGGAAGGGGGUGGCAGAGAGACCAAGGUAGAGGCUACUGCAGAAGUUCUAAUGGGACUGGGGGCUGGCAUAGAUUACCUGGGUGGCACUAGAGUGGUGGAAACUGGAGAUACUAGAUAUAUUUUGGAAGAAUUUUCCCCCAAACCAGCAAGAUGUGCCAUUAGAUUAAAUGGGGAUGUGACAGGAGAGAUAAAUCAAAAGUGCAAGGUUUUCAGCUUGAACUCACUGAAAAUACAGAGAUGCCAUUUUCUGAAGUGGGGACUGGAAUAUUUGAAAUCUUCUCCUGCCUGCAGUUCUCUCACUCUGCAAUUUGCCCUGAACAACCUCCUAGUUGUGGACCUUAGACCACAUGAUUCAUCCCCUGAGGCCUCCUCCAUACCCUACAGACCUCACGUGUACUUCACGUGUUCACGCUGAAAGAAAAAUUUGUCCUACACUCUCUCGGCCUGAACAACUGACUACUUGAUAAAAUAAGAUUUGUAAACAUAAAAAAAAAAGCAAUUAUAACCUCAAAUGGGUUUAAGUUGCUUUCCCAUUCUUACCAGGCCAGAGCACAAAUAGAGAAGGAAUGUGUCUUUCGUGUUUGCAAUUAGGAAGUGAAGGAGAUGGUGCUAAUCAUAGAGUUUCUGUUAGUUCUGGGCUGACCUUGUUUGAAGUAUGGUUGCAACACACUUUAUGACCCUACCAGCUCAAUGGAAUUUUUGUUUAUUGCUUCCUCUCCUCUCUGUGUCCUCUGACUGUGGGUCUACUCAGUAUGACAGUCUCUCCAGGGCAGGAUUGUGUCUGUUUACCUUGUUCUGCACUGGACUUCACUUACCAUGGUGGCUGUGGCAGAGCUGGGUCAUUAGGACUCUUUGGAAGAUAAUGCCCUGUGAAAGAGGAAUGGGGUAUAGGAAAAAAGAGGCAAUGGGCAUGAAAGAUGUGAGAAUGGAUGGGAAAAAAAAGAUAUAAUAAUAUAAAAUAAUGUCAUAUAUGAAAUAAUAUAAAAAAUAAAUUGAGUAUUUGUUUUUCAGUUAACCAAUGUCAGAAUAUAUAUUAUUCUAAGACCCUCACUCUACUCUGUUGUCCUAGGAGCUCUGGAGGGAAGCAUUAGAUAUGGCUCUUAACCUCAGGGGGCUUACAGUCCAAUCAGGAGACCCAAUGCAAAUGGAACAAUGAAUCAAGAUACUAUCUAACAGGACUAGACCAUGCCAGUAAGUGCUGUAGGAGUUUAAAGAUGAAGUAGCUCUUUGAGGCUGCAGUAGUCUGUUGAUGGUGCUUCUCUCAGGAGGUCCCAGGAGGGGUGACUGUUCUUUCUGGAACAUGGUCAUGGGAAAAUCCCUCAUACCUACUUUAAGCCAGUAAAAGAGAAUGUCCAGAAAGGCCAGGUAUUUGGAAUUGGACCUAAGUGACAGGCUUCAUAUACAAAUAUGCAUUGGUUUACGGACAAUUGUAUAGUUUUUUUCUUCACUGCCACCUAAACCAUCAUUAUCAGCACUUGAGUCCUCUGUGACCAUCACUGCUGUCCAUGGGCAGUAUGCACAAGUGGAACAAAGCCAACGCCUCAACUGUGAGACAGUUUGUCUCUUAGGGUUAGGGAAGAUGAGGGCUAAGGGUGGAGGGAGAAGGUACAGCAUGGCGAAGCUCAUCAUAGAUCCCUUGGAACACUAUUCCUACUGAUUUGUUACUCCCUUUUCUCCCUCCAUGCUUUGUCUUUCCCUGUUACACACACACUGUUAUUCUUCAUCUGUCCGCAGCCCAGUCAUUGGAACUUGGAUGUAAGUGGCUUCUACAACCAAGUGAGGCAGAGAAAUGGGCAGCAGUGAUGACUCUAUAAAGACUUUUGUCCUUUCAUUCAUUCAAGGUGGUGUACAACCCAAAGAUGAACACAUGACCCUUGUCCUCAAGCAGCUCAAUCUGUGAAAACUAUCAUAUGAGUUAAUGUGGUAACAGAAGCAUGCGCACAAAGUACUCUGGAACAACAGGCAGGGACCAUUUAGACCUGCUGCAGUGUGUGUGUCUGUGUCUGUUUAUCUAUGUAUUAUAUGCAGGCAGAUUGUGAAAAAAGACAAGUUUCACAGAGGAGAUGAUACAUGAUCUUUUCUAAUUCACUGAAGCAUACAGCUAUCAAAGGCCUGAGGACUCUUGAAAGAUGAGCAAAAUUUCAUCAUGCAGAGAAGGGAAGUGUAAAGACAGGAAACAGCAUGUGAAAGGCAUUCUAUUCUAUUUAAAUCUAGGAAUACUGUCUUUAGGAUGUUCUUGGCUGAUUAAAUCAGAUGCAUCAUCAUAUUAUACUAUCAUGAUUUACCAAUACUGGUUAUUGCCUAGAUUUUAUCCAUGGACUCUCCAUUGGCAUCAUUAGUGAUGAGAGCUGGAAGCUUGAGCACACCCUGCCAUAAAGUUGUUUGUAACAGAAGACAUAGUUUGUACUUUGUUUUCUCUGUUUCAGUUUUGGUUUCCACCUCUAAUUUGAUAUAUACCAGUUAUUAAUCUGGUUGAUUUGCUACAAAUGAAAAGUUUAAAAAAUUAAUGACAAUCUAUACAAAACUCACAUAAAACCAUUUGAGUCUCCCACUAGAUGGCACAGGAAGAAUAUGGCAUAUCACCUAAUUCUCAGGCUAGGCUAGAUAGAAAAUGUCUAUUCCUAUGAUCACAUGACUCUGACUACUUUCUCUUAAAAGUAAAUAUAAAUAACAUCUCUGUAAUUUUAUUUUUUCUUUAACAAUAAUUUAUCUUAAAGUAGACAGAAAAAUGCAUGUGGUUUAAAAUUCAUAGUAAAUAGGAGAAUAUUAUAAAAGUUUCUUAAGGCCAGGUGCAGUGGCUCAUGCCUGUAAUCUCAGCACUUUGGGGGUCCGAGGCAGGCGGACCAUGAGGUCAGGAGAUUGAGACCAUCCUGGGCAACAUGGUGAAACCUUGUCUCUACUAAAACUACAAAAAUUAGCUGGGCGUGGUAUGCUCCUGUAGUCCCAGCUACUUGGGAGGCUGAGGGAGGAGAAUCGCUUGAACCCGGGAGGUGGAGGUUGCAGUGAGCCGAGGUCGUGCCACUGCACUCCAGCCUGGCAACAGAGUGAGACUCUGUCUCAAAAAAAAAAGUUUCUCAAACCAUUUUUAACAGAUUAAAACAAUUCUUUUUUUAUCAAACUAUUUUUUUCAUUAAUUCUUAGUAGUCAAUAGUUCUGUUAUUGUGACCCUGGAAGACAAGGCACUGUCAUCUGUCUCCUACAGAUUUUAGAGCAAUUAAAAGUGAAGCAAUCCAUAUUCAUUGAUUAAGAGGGAACUAUCAUGUAACCUGGGUAAGUCAGUCCAUAUCACUUUAAGAACGCUAAACAGUAUUGCUCAAGGUUAAAAAAAAAAAAAAAGGAGAGAGAGAGAGAUCUAACACCAUUCUUUAACGCCUGGCCACUAAACUAAUGACCAUCAAUGACAGAACCUGCUUAAUCCCCAUAUAAUUAUCCAAUAUAUUGAAUCCUAAUUUUUUUUGCUCUUCACCCCAACCUUGCCCAAGUGCCAGUGUAGCUCUACUUUAAGAAUAUCAAUAGAAUGUGAUUUUUCACAAGCUGCCAUAAGUAAAUGGUGGUAAGCCAGAGUUAUAAUCUGAAAAUGCAGCUAGUUUUUUGGGGGGCACAUUAGGACUCAAACUUCCUAAAACUCCUACUCCUGAGUUACCUGGAGAAAAGCUACAGCAGAUGGGCAUCCAGUGCUUGGAAGGGCUGCUUGGUCCUCAAUACAGGGCCCAGUAAAUAUAUCUUUCAAUUAAACUCCAACCUUUGAUGUAACUGGUAUCGUGGUGCCACAAGGAUUCUGUUCAAUAUAUAUUUACUGAAUACCUUCUUUGUGCAACACUCUGUGCUGGACCCUGGGCUAGCUUAAACAACCUGAUUUGAUUCAUGGUGGGCAGCAGAUAAGAAGGCAGAAUUAGUUCACCCUCAUAAUGGUCUUUUACUGCAGCAAUGGCCAAUAAACCACCGAGUUUGCAACACCAGAACCCUAAGGGCACACUUAGCUUGAAUCAGAGUGUCUCCUGGCAAUCAUAACUGAUAUUCAAUCAGAGUUCCCACUGAGUAUAGAUGUACUACUUGACUCCAUUCCAAUAAGUGCAGCAAGCUGGAGCAGAAAAACUAAUCUUUGCUGGGUCUCUCAACGCAUGAUUUUUCCUACAUUGUGCAACCCUUAUAUGCCUUUCGUCAUUCAUUCCUAUCAGAAUCUCCUAGAGUGCUUAUUUUAAUGCAGAUUCCCAGGCCCAAUGUAGAUCACUGUAUCACAUCUCUGUGAUACAGGAGGCCAUAGUGAAAACACAAAUGAACCUGUUGCCAGCCAUCCAUGAGACCACCACGGAUGCCCCACACAUCGCCAGGGUGAUUUGAGGGCCUCAAGAUGUGAGUUCCUUAGCAUGGUUGGGGGCCAGAGACGCCACAGUUUGAGCUUUGGCAUUAAUGUGCUCUUCCUUUCUGUUGCUUAUCUUAGGUAGGAACCAGUUGACAAGUGUCCUCUCCCAGCACAAGGAACUGACUCUGGGCACUGAGUAUAGAUUUUACUUAAAAAAAUGUACAAUUUUACUUACAGAAAGUUACUCAGCUGGGAUGUUUCACUUCAUCAUUAAGGUUUUCUUGUUUUCUUCCUUCCUUCCCUUCCUUCCUUCCUUCCGUCCUUCCUUCCUUCCUUCUUUCCUCCCCUCUCCCUCCCUCCCUCUCUCUUCUUUCUUUUUCUUUCUUUCUUUCUCUUUCCUUCUUCUUUUUCUUUCUUCUUUCCUUUCUUUCUUCCUUCCUCCCUCCCUCCCUGCUUGCUUGCUUUCUUUCUCUCUCUCUCUUUCUUUCUUUCUUUUUUUUGUAAGAAACAGGGGUCUCUCUCCCCAGGCUGGAGUGAAGUGGCACACAAUCAUAGCUCACUGUGGCCUCAAACUCCUGGACUCAAGAGAUCUUCAUGCAGUCUUCCCAGUAACUGGGAUUACAGGCACGUGCUACUGCACCCAGCUUUCACCGUAUAAGUUAAUUGUUAACUUCACAUAAGUUUUAAUACCUGCAAAAAUUAUGUGACUCUUCCAGAUUCCAAUCUUUUCUAAUUUGCUAAAGCAUACAGCCAUCAGAAGUCAACAUGCAGAGAAGCACUAACACGGAGUCUCUGCAUGUCUUGAUAAAUGUUGCUUUGAUGCAGAAUUCAGUUUGGGCAACUUGUGUAGAAGGAUGGUCAGAAAGUAAUUUUCUGUUUGUUGGGGUGUGUGUCUGUGUGUGUGUGUGUAUGUAUGUAUGUAUGUAUGUAUAUGUAUAUGUGUAUGUAAAGAACACAGGUUCUGCAAUUAGUCCAGUGUUGUUGUUCUGGGAAUUUAAAUGUUUUCAUUCUCAAAGCAGUUCUGCUGAGUAGAAAUUUUCACGUUACCCCAUUAUACAGACUGAAAACCUGAAGCUUGAGUAGUUUGCCCAAGGUCACAUAGCAAGGAAGAUCACAAGGCAAAGGAAGAUCUUGAACCCUCUAAAGUUCACGAUGUUUCCAUUAUGUCAUGCUUGUAAAAAACAUGAAAAGAAAUGUUUAUAAUAAAAGAUAUUAAGUGAUAAAACUUCCUUAACAAUUUUCUCCUUUGCAAUAUCAGAAACCUCCAGCAGGCUGUACCCCUGAAUCAGUUUUCUAAUUGAAGCCAUUAAACAAUGAUUU
rnacentral:lncRNA from 1 species